rnacentral:rRNA from 1 species
AUUGCAGAACACAUUGAACAUCGACACCUUGAACGCACAUGGCGGCCUCGGGUCCAUCCCGGGGCCACGCCCGUCUGAGGGUCG